rnacentral:rRNA from 1 species
GACGAACGCUGGCGGCGUGCCUAAUACAUGCAAGUCGAGCGGAUCUUCAUUAGCUUGCUUUUGAAGAUCAGCGGCGGGCGGGUGAGUAACACGUGGGCAACCUGCCUGUAAGACUGGGAUAACUUCGGGAAACCGGAGCUAAUACCGGAUAAUCCUUUUCCUCUCAUGAGGAAAAGCUGAAAGACGGUUUCGGCUGUCACUUACAGAUGGGCCCGCGGCGCAUUAGCUAGUUGGUGAGGUAACGGCUCACCAAGGCGACGAUGCGUAGCCGACCUGAGAGGGUGAUCGGCCACACUGGGACUGAGACACGGCCCAGACUCCUACGGGAGGCAGCAGUAGGGAAUCUUCCGCAAUGGACGAAAGUCUGACGGAGCAACGCCGCGUGAGCGAUGAAGGCCUUCGGGUCGUAAAGCUCUGUUGUCAGGGAAGAACAAGCAUCGGAGUAACUGCCGGUACCUUGACGGUACCUGACCAGAAAGCCACGGCUAACUACGUGCCAGCCGCCGCGGUAAGAC